rnacentral:rRNA from 1 species
UACGUAGGGAGCAAGCGUUGUCCGGAAUCAUUGGGCGUAAAGCGCGCGUAGGUGGCCAUGUAAGUCCGCUGUGAAAGUCAAAGGCUCAACCCUGGGAUGCCGGUGGAUACUGUCGGGCUCGAGUCCGGAAGAGGCGAGUGGAAUUCCUGGUGUAGCGGUGAAAUGCGCAGAUAUCAGGAGGAACACCAAUGGCGAAGGCAGCUCGCUGGGACGUGACUGACGCUGAGACGCGAAAGCGUGGGGAGCAAACAGG